rnacentral:rRNA from 1 species
UACGUAGGGGGCAAGCGUUGUCCGGAUUUAUUGGGCGUAAAGAGCGUGUAGGCGGUCAGGUAGGUCCGUUGUGAAAACUCGAGGCUCAACCUCGAGACGCCGAUGGAAACCAUCUGACUAGAGUCCGGAAGAGGAGAGUGGAAUUCCUGGUGUAGCGGUGAAAUGCGCAGAUAUCAGGAAGAACACCCGUGGCUAAGGCGGCUCUCUAGUACGGUACUGACGCCGAGACGCGAAAGCGUGGGGAGCGAACAGG